AGCCGAGAACAUCUCUGGUGAUUUUAGAAGUUAAUAGCAGCCACCAUGAAGAUUGAUAUAAAGCUAGUGUUUCUCGCUUUGGUCAUCUUGUGUGUUGUGAGUGAGACCGCUGCAUGGGGAUCCAGAAGUCGCGGGAGCUCACGGUCAAAAUCCCCAAGUCGAAGAGGUGGCUGGGGUGGGGGCAGGCGGUCUUCUCCUUCUAGAUCUAGAAGGGGAUGGGGUGGUCGUCGACCAAGACAGAGACCACGUCCAAGACCA